AGAGUUUAGGUUAAUACAGACCAAAGGCCUUCAAAGCCUUAAGUAGGAGUGAAAAUCCCCUAACCCUUGA
ensembl:Mt_tRNA